rnacentral:lncRNA from 1 species
CUGCACAUGCUGGCGAUGUGACACUCUCCUCCACUCCCCUUGGCCUGAAGACCACAGACUUUCUAAAUAUCUUACCCAAUGAUCCUUUGUACGUUAUUUUUAAAAUCAUUAACAUUGUCUCUUUAUUCAGAUGAGAAAGUGAACCAGGAAACAGACUCUGUGAUAAGCAGACAAAAAGCUUUAUUCUGAAAAACUCUCUUUGCUGAGCUGAGAAAAAUUCAAAAGCAGUGAAAGGAGAAGUUGGGGUCGAAUGGUUUAGGGGUGAAGAGAUGGUGGCACCAAUACCCAGGUGCUCUAGUUUAUUCCAUAAGAGACUUGUUUGCUGUUCCCUGAGAGCUCAGGCGGAAGGAGAAGCUGGGCUGCUAUUGAUUGUUCAGAAAAAAGUGGUGACAGACAGAUUUUAGAAAGAGGCACAGACUUCCUUCCAUAGACCUUGGUAAGCACUGCACCUUAAUUCCUCAAAAAUUUGUCUGCAAACCGUUAGGGUAGCUCCUCUCCAACGAUUUCCAUUCUCCAGUCAAAAAUGUUCUGAAUAGAAGAGGCUUAGACCCAUUAUGAUUACAUUUUCUUAAAUUGGGACGGCAAAGGGAGCUGUGGAAAACAAAAUACAUCUGGGGAAUAGAGUCAGCUGAAACUUUUUUUUUUUUUUUGGAAUGAUUCUGGAUCACAAAGUUAGGUCACCUCUGAGAGAGAAACACUUUUAAAUAAAAUGGUAUCUUUCCAUCCCCAGUAAAAACACUAGGUUUCUAAUCUGAUUACUAUUUACUUCAGGAAGGAAAUUGGCGGAGUAGAUUACAAACAGGCACUUUUACAGAUGGAUUUAAUCCCUAGUCUUACACAUAUUAACUUGGAAUUUACUGACUCAGACAAGAUCUUUUAAGCUAUAAAAUGUGAUUGAGAGGUGAUAGAGCAUAUGUUCUGAGCAAACCAGAAAGGCUAAAAAAAAGGUUAAGUAAUCCUCCCAAAUAUUCAGAGUCUUUAUAAAUUCUGCUCCACCCACAAGGGAGUUAGGAGUUAGGUAACAGCAAGAGAGCCAUUAAGACUCAAGGUAAUUUUUUCUUAAUUAUUAAAAAUAACAAUAAACCCAAGGACAAUUCUUAAAUCAGAGAUGACUGUGGAAAGCGAGUCCUACUCUUGUUAUUUAGAAAUUUGUUAAAGUUUAGAAUAGAGAACCGAUUUUUUUUUUUUUUUUUUUUUUUUUUUACUGAAACUCUUCCUUUUGGGAGAUUUGGCCUAUAGUGUAGGAGCAGAUGGUUUAUUCAUGCAUGGAUAUUUAUUGAGUGGAAACCCUAUACCAAGGAUACAGAAGUUAACAGCACAAAGUCUAUGCCCUCAUGAAGCUUACAUGUUGAUGAGAGGAAAUAGAUAGGACAUCAGUAAAUAUAUUUCAUGUCAGAUACUUCAGGCAGUGUCCUGGAGAAAAAUGAGACAGAUUAAGUGAGGUAGAGGAUGAUAGGGUGGGUGUGGGGUUGCUACUUGCUACUUGUUAUAGGGUGGACAGGAAAAGUUUCUAUGAAAAGGUGAAAGUUGAUCAAAGGCUUAAAGAAAACAGGGGAGUGAACCUCAGAGUUUUCAUUGUAAAGGGCUUUUCAGACAAAUGGAAAGCAGUUGCAAAGGUCCUGGGGUCAAACCAUGUGCUUGGCACACUUAAGGGAGAGCCAGGAGGUCAAGUGAGUAAAGAGGAGAAUGUGGCAGAUGAAGUCAGAGAGAUGACACUGUCCCACAAGUCUUAGAGGUCAUUGUCAGGGCUUUUACCAAGAGCAAGAUGGUUCAGAGCAAGAGUGAUAUGACCUGACUCGCAUUUCAAAACCAGUAGUGUGACGGCUGUGUUGCCACCUUCUCUCUUGAGAUGGUGAGCAAUGGAAGACGUAGCAGGACCAUGUAGGAGGACAUUGCAUCCAUCCAAGUAAAAGGUAUAGUGGCUUAAGCCAUGGUGUUAGUGAAGGUGAUAAGUGGUUGGGUUCUGGAAAUAUUCUGAAGGGUUUGCUGAUGAAUUAGAUAUUGAGUAAGAGAAAGAAAAGAAUCAAGAAUGACCCUAGAAUUUUUGGCUUCAGCUGCUGGAAGUUUGGAGUCACCAUGAAUGAGAUGGGAAUCCUAGAGGUCAAGUAGACUGGGAAAGAUAUCCCCAUGGUAAGGUUUUGAUCUCCCAUCAGACGUCCUAAUGGAAGUGCUGAUCAGGCUGUUGGCUAUGUGAACAUGAAGUCUCCAGAAGAGGUAGAGCCUGAAGAUACGAUUUUGGAAUUUGUAGGCAUUUCGAUGUUGUCUGAAGCCAGGAGACCACAGCUCUAGGAGUAUAGACAGAAGAGAAUCUCUCAGCCUGAGCCCUGGGGGGAUGCUCAGAGCCAUAGGAGAGGAGGAGGAGCCAGCAUUGGGAGGUGCGGCCAAGAGUGGCCGCUAUGGCAAUAUGGAGAUCAUUCAUUUCAUGACCUGGCCAAGAGCUGUUUCAGUGAACUGGUGAGGACAAGAGCAUGGCAGGGGUGGGGUCAAGAAGGGGUAUGAGGAAAGGAAGUGGAAACAAUAUGAAUAGGCCACUCUUACAGGAAUUUUGCAGCAAAGGGAACAUAGAAAUAGUAGAUAGUAAAGGAAGUGAGGUCUAAGGUGGUAUCUUUCUUUAAAGACAAAAGAAAUAACAGCCUGUUUCAUGCUGACCAGAAUGAUCCAGUAGAGAGAGAAAACAGAUGAUGCUUAAGAAGAGGGGAUAAUGGCUAGAGUGAUGUCUUCUAGGAAGUGAGAGGCAAUGGGAUCCAGAGCACAGAUGGAGAGAUUGUCUUUAGGAGUCUAACCGGGUUGUCAUGGUAACAAAAGGGAGAUAGUGUAUAUGGGCACGGGUGCAAGAGGCUUUGGGUAGAUGUGAUGGUGGGACUGUGUCUUUUCUGAUUGAUGACUGUUUAGUGAAUUACAAAGGGACUUUAUCAGCUAGUAUUGAGUACUGGGGAAUGGGUAUUGAUGGUUUGGGAAGAAAAGAAAGCAUGAAUUACCUCAUAUUGUCAUCCAGCAGGAGAGUGAGGAGACUUAGUAAAUGUAAGAAGCAUGCCAGGUGGACUUACUUGAGGUUCUUAACGGUUGUGCAUUUAAAAGUAAUUUAAGAAAUCUUUAGCAGCAUUCAGCUGCUUAGCUAGAGUGGCAAGUCUGAUCUAAGCAGCAUUGGGGUUUAAAUAGGUGAAUGCAGUGAAGGCAGCAAGUGACACAGGGUUAGGGACAGCUGCAUAGUAGUGAUGAUGAUUGGCCCUAGGACCUAAUCUGGGUGAAGAGAAAAGUGAAGAUUUUUAGGGAAGCAAAAAUAAUGAUGUGCAAUAGUGGGAGGGGAUUGAGAGGCAGGCGGGUCACUGCAUUACUGAGUCAGGAUCCAGAAAGAGCAAUCUGGAAUGUACGAGCUGGGUCAGAGCAGGGUGCUUGAGGCUUUGAUUUGGGAGAGAUUGGAGUUACUGGUCUGGGGUCUGAUGAGGAAUGGGAAGCUGCUGAUAGAUGGAAGAAAAUAUUAUUGCAGGAGCAGAGGCCUAGGAACUCUUGGCCCUCCUUCAAUCCUGAUGUUUGGGUUUGUUUGGUUUUAUAUUUUUUUAACAUUCACUAAAAUCUCCAUUGCCAUCUGUGGUAGGCCACAGCCUAUCUUUAUAGAUGUCAGCUAACGUGAUUGUAGCUUGAGGCCACACUUUGACUAUUUGCCCCAGAAAGAACACACUAUCCCAGUAAAUCUUGUCCUUUCUAUUUUCCAGGCUCCCAGUGAAGUCAGUUUCCUUGGGGGAAUCAUAAUGCUUUGCUCACCUUUCUCGUUUAUCUUUUCUUUUCAUUUUUUUUUUAAAGUCAAAGUUAGAAGGAUUAGAAAGCAGCUUUGUUUCUGCCAGUUCUGCUAAAUGAGUGUUUUCUCUGACUGAUCAUUUUUCUUUAGUAUUUUCUUUUGUGACAGAGAGGAAUGUAAGGAAACAAUCGAAAGUCUUGAAAAGCCCUGGGCGAGAGGUUGGAAGAGAUCAGUAGAGGGUUAUGAAGAAAAGGACUUUGAGUAGGACAGCAUGAAAAAGGGACAAGUGAGAGCUUUGAGGGAGGGUUGAAAACAAAAACAGAAAUUUAACCAAAGGAGGCAGGGGAAAAAUCCACUUGCAUCAGCAUUUGGAGAUUUAGCAAGUGCACCUAAAGCCUGCGCCCAGGAACAGUCCACAUACUCGUGACACGGAUAGCGAGUUCAUUCUAUUUUAUAUCCUUAUUGCUUAAAAAAACCCAAAAAACAAAAAAACAACCAAUCAACAAACAGAAGCUCUCAUAAUUUGAAAAGAGACAGAAGCUGGUCCAACCAUUUCUGGUGCACUAGUUCUCCAAGCCGCCACAGAAUCAUGAACAAGGCAUGAAUUUCAUCACACCACUGCUGCUACUGGUUCAGCUUCUCUGUCUACCAGUAAAGGUACCCCUGAGCUUAGUCACAUCCUGCCUGGAAUUUUUCCCAAAAGAUUAAAUUGUGUUCCUUCUGGCUUGUCUGAUGCCACAUCUUGAGUUCUGGUGUCCGAGGGAUAUUGCACCCAACUCAAGGGGUUUCUCCUGUGCUUUAUGCACGGAAGACCAAGGGGACCCCACCUAGGAAGGAAGAAGGAAGCAAGGGAAGCGAGCCAGGGAUGGGUUUGCGACGCCUUCUGCUUUGUGACACCUGGGAAUGAAACCUUCCAAAGGUGAGCUGGGAACAAUGUGGCUUCCUUGGCCUCUGCCUCAGAUUUUCCCAUCUUCAGGGUGCCUCUGGUUAACUGGGUGCACCUGUUUGUUAAGGGAAUGUGCAGGAGUCGGAGGGGGGGCGAAUCUUCAACGAGCUUUGUUACCCAAUGACCAUCCCAGCAUUAAUAUUUCGCGGUAGUCAGAAACAUUUGGGGGAGCUAGACCACAUGUUACAGUGGAGAUCAGAGAAGGGACAAGAUAAGGUCAUGAGCUCUCGUCCCUAAGGGCAAAUCUCUUUCCUCCACUUGACAGGCGUGAUGCUCCAGCACUGUCAAGAUUAUGUUCAGCCACAAUCACUGGCGCGCGCGUGUGCGUGUGCAUGUGUGCGUGCGCGUCCCUGUGAGCGUGUGCGCGCGUACGUGUGUGAGCGCGAGGAGGUGAUGUUGGAAACCACAAAAUACAAUGCCACUGCAGGGUUGGGUUGCAAACUCAAGAGCAGCGGGCCUCCCGAGGCACCAUGGCAGGAGAGACAGGCUCCUAGCUUUCCCAGUGUGGUCCUCUCCCCAGGGAUACAGAGGACUCAGGCUCGCCUUGAUUCUGUGAGGCCCAGAUCCCAUUCCUGUCCCCGGGGCUGGCUCUCCUUCCUCUUGACUCUCAGAUCCCCAGCCCAUCCACCUCCAAGUUCUUUUUUUGUUUGUUUGUUUUAUUUUUGUUUUCUGUAAAUAUAUAUUUCUUAUUUGGGACGUGCAGGGAUCAAUUGAGAUUCUGGAGUGGGGGGAGGGGGCGGAUGACUGGGUCUUUUUAUUUUUUUCCUUUCUCUCUUGGAUUUUGGUGUUUGAACUUGAAAAAAAAUAAUUACAAGUAUAUAUAUAAGCAAAUGACUUACCUUUAAAAACAAAGACAUAAGUUGAUUUCAUUCUUUUGAUUUAUCUUGUUUCUCAUUGGGGUUGGGUGGGGGUGGGGGGGUCUUUUGGGUGGAGGGCUUUUUUGUGAGCUGUAUAGAUUUCCAGUUUGGACUUGUUCAAAUGAUGCAGGAACAAAAAUUAAAAUGAAUUUAAAAAAAAGACACAACCUAAAAACAAGAAAAACUUUGUGAUGUAUAAAAGCUGUAAAUAGUCAAAGAUUCUUUCUCUUUUCUAAUGGCAAAUUAUUUCUGUCACUUUAUAUUCAAAAAAUAAAGAAACCUACCGCAAAUUAUCAG